rnacentral:rRNA from 1 species
GACGAACGCUGGCGGCGUGCUUAACACAUGCAAGUCGAACGGAAAGGCCCUGCUUUUGUGGGGUGCUCGAGUGGCGAACGGGUGAGUAACACGUGAGUAACCUGCCCUUGACUUUGGGAUAACUUCAGGAAACUGGGGCUAAUACCGGAUAGGAGCUCCUGCUGCAUGGUGGGGGUUGGAAAGUUUCGGCGGGUGGGGAUGGACUCGCGGCUUAUCGGCUUGUUGGUGGGGUAGUGGCUUACCAAGGCUUUGACGGGUAGCCGGCCUGAGCGGGUGACCGGCCACAUUGGGACUGAGAUACGGCCCAGACUCCUACGGGAGGCAGCAGUGGGGAAUAUUGCACAAUGGGCGGAAGCCUGAUGCAGCAACGCCGCGUGCGGGAUGACGGCCUUCGGGUUGUAAACCGCUUUCGCCUGUGACGAAGCGUGAGUGACGGUAAUGGGUAAAGAAGCACCGGCUAACUACGUG